rnacentral:lncRNA from 1 species
UCCUCCUAUUUCUUCAAAUCUAAUUCUUCUAUUUUGUGUCUGUAACCACUUCCUUCCUGACUGCUCCAGAAUCUUUUUGACUUUUUUUAAUGACUGCUUCAUAAACUUUGUCCAUCUGAGCCACCAGCAUCUCCCACUUUGUACAACUAAAAAUGAAGCCAUUGUCAUUUUCAUCUUUCUAGCACACGGACCAAGGAAAAGCUUUGUUCCUACCCCAUCUUUCAUGUACCCACUUCUUACCCUCCACUCCCCAUAGGUAACUACCUCUUUCAUUUAUUUUUUUGAAUAUCUUUUCAGAGUUUCUUUAAAUAAUAUAAGCAACUUUAAGUAUAUACUCUUAUUCCCCCACAACUUUUAUAACACAAGGUAACACUCUAUACAUACUUUUAUGUCUUGAGUUUCUCACUAAAAAUAUCUUUUCUGUGGUGUCCAAACUUGCUGCUCACCUGU